AACGAACGCUGGCGGCAUGCCUAACACAUGCAAGUCGAACGAGACCUUCGGGUCUAGUGGCGCACGGGUUCGUAACGCGUGGGAACCUGCCCUUAGGUUCGGAAUAACUCCCCGAAAGGGGUGCUAAUACCGGAUAAGGUCUUCGGACCAAAGAUUUAUCGCCUUUGGAUGGGCCCGCGUUGGAUUAGCUAGUUGGUAGGGUAAAAGCCUACCAAGGCGACGAUCCAUAGCUGGUCUGAGAGGAUGAUCAGCCACACUGGGACUGAGACACGGCCCAGACUCCUACGGGAGGCAGCAGUGGGGAAUAUUGGACAAUGGGCGAAGGCCUGAUCCAGCAAUGCCGCGUGAGUGCUGAAGGCCUUAGGGUUGUAAAGCUCUUUUACCCGGGAUGAUAAUGACAGUACCGGGAGAAUAAGCUCCGGCUAACUCCGUG
rnacentral:rRNA from 1 species